rnacentral:rRNA from 1 species
CCUACGGGGCGCUGCAGUGGGGAAUAUUGGACAAUGGGCGAAAGCCUGAUCCAGCCAUGCCGCGUGUGUGAAGAAGGCCUUCGGGUUGUAAAGCACUUUCAGUGGGGAAGAAAGCCUUGGGGCUAAUACCCUCGAGGAAGGACAUCACCCACAGAAGAAGCACCGGCUAACUCCGUGCCAGCAGCCGCGGUAAUACGGAGGGUGCGAGCGUUAAUCGGAAUUACUGGGCGUAAAGCGCGCGUAGGCGGUCUGAUAAGCCGGUUGUGAAAGCCCCGGGCUCAACCUGGGAACGGCAUCCGGAACUGUCAGGCUAGAGGGCAGGAGAGGAAGGUAGAAUUCCCGGUGUAGCAGUGAAAUGCGUAGAGAUCGGGAGGAAUACCAGUGGCGAAGGCGGCCUUCUGGACUGACACUGACGCUGAGGUGCGAAAGCGUGGGUAGCAAACAGGAUUAGAUACCCCAGUAGUC